AAGUUAUACACUUAUUGAAUAAGCUUAUGAUUUGAAAUUAUAAUGAAAGGGUUUAAGCCCCUUAAUAACUUG
rnacentral:tRNA from 1 species